CGUAGGUGGUCUAAUAAGUCAGUGGUGAAAUCUCUUUGCUUAACAAAGGAAAUUGCCAUUGAAACUGUUAGACUUGAGAAUGGACGAGGUAGGCGGAAUUCGUAGUGUAGCGGUGAAAUGCAUAGAUAUUACGAAGAACUCCAAUAGUGUAGACUGCUUACCAGACCAUAUCUGACACUAAGGCACGAAAGUGUGGGUAUCAAACAGGAUUAGAUACCCUGGUAGUCCACACAGUAAACGAUGAAUACUAACUGUUUGCGAUAUACAGCAAGUGGUCGAGCGAAAGCGUUAAGUAUUCCACCUGGGAAGUAUGCCGGCAACGGUGAAACUCAAAGGAAUUGACGGGGGCCCGCACAAGCGGAGGAACAUGUGGUUUAAUUCGAUAAUACGCGAGGAACCUUACCCGGGCUCGAACGAUAUUUGAAUACAUCCGAAAAGAUGUAGCUAGCAAUAGCAAAUACCGAGGUGCUGCAUGGUUGUCGUCAGCUCGUGCCGUGAGGUGUCGACUUAAGUGUCAUAACGAGCGCAACCCUUACCGAUAGUUACCAUCAGAUAAUGCUGGGGACUCUAUUGGGACUGCCACCGUAAGGUGUGAGGAAGGAGAGGAUGACGUCAAAUCAGCACGGCCCUUAUGUCCGGGGCGACACACGUGUUACAAUGGGAGAAACAAAGGGUCGCUACCUGGCAACAGGAUGCUAAUCUCGAAAAUCUCUCUCAGUUCGGAUUGGAGUCUGCAACUCGACCCCAUGAAGCUGGAUUCGCUAGUAAUCGCACAUCAGCCAUGGUGCGGUGAAUACGUUCCCGGGCCUUGUACACACCGCCCGUCAAGCCAUGGAAGCUGGAAGUACCUGAAGUAUGUAACUGAAAAGAGCGUCCU
rnacentral:rRNA from 1 species